rnacentral:rRNA from 1 species
UGCAAGUCGAACGAGAAAAUCCUGGCUUGCCAGGAUGAGUAAAGUGGCGCACGGGUGAGUAACACGUGAGUAAUCUGCCCCUAAGUUAGGAAUAACAUUGCGAAAGCGAUGCUAAUACCUGGUAAGCCCACGACUUCUUCGGUAGAUGUGGGAAAAGGUGGCCUCUGACAUAAGCUAUCACUUAGGGAUGAGCUCGCGGACCAUUAGCUUGUUGGUAGGGUAAUGGCCUACCAAGGCGAUGAUGGUUAGCUGGCCUGAGAGGGUGGCCAGCCACACUGGAACUGAGACACGGUCCAGACUCCUACGGGAGGCAGCAGUGGGGAAUCUUGCGCAAUGGGGGAAACCCUGACGCAGCAACGCCGCGUGAGUGACGAAGGCCUUCGGGUCGUAAAGCUCUGUCAGAUGGAAAGAAUUGGGGGGGGUGAAAAUAUUGGCGAGUGAUGGCGGUACCAUCAGAGGAAGCACCGGCUAACUCCGUGCCAGCAGCCGCGGUAAUACGGAGGGUGCAAGCGUUGUUCGGAAUUAUUGGGCGUAAAGCGCGUGUAGGCGGGAAGACAGGUCAGUUGUGAAAUCCCUUGGCCUAACCAAGGAACUGCAUCUGAAACCUUUUUCCUCGAGUACGAUAGGGGAGGGCGGAAUUCCCAGUGUAGAGGUGAAAUUCAUAGAUAUUGGGAGGAACACCAGUGGCGAAGGCGACCCU